GAGUUCGAUCCUGGCUCAGGAUGAACGCUGCGGCAUGCUUAACACAUGAAAGUCGGACGGGAAGUGGUGUUUUCAGUGGCGGACGGGUGAGUAACGCGUAAGAACCUACCCUUGGGAGGGGAACAACAGCUGGAAACGGCUGCUAAUACCCCGUAGGCUGAGGAGCAGAAGGAGGAAUCCACCCGAGGAGGGGGCUCGCGUCUGAUUAGCUAGUUAGUGAGGCAAUAGCUUACCAAGGCAAUGAUCAGUAGCUGGUCCGAGACGAUGAUCAGUCACACUAGGACUGAGAAACGGCCCAGACUCCUACGGGAGGCAGCAGUGGGGAAUUUUCUGCAAUGGGCGAAAGCCUGACGGAGCAAUAUCGCGUGGAGGUAGAAGGCCCACGGGUUGUGAACUUCUUUUCCCAGAGAAGAAGCAAUGACGGUAUUUGGGGAAUAAUCAUUGGCUAACUCUGUGUAAGCAGCCGUGGUAAUACAGAGGAUGCAAAUGUUAUUC
rnacentral:ncRNA from 1 species